CGUGAGGCCGUCGGGGUCAAGGAGGAUGCGGUGUGAGGUGUCUGACUCAGCCCUGAGCUGCCCCCAGGAAAGCACACGGCAGCCAGGCCUGAGGGGACAGAAUCGAGGGCGGACUGUGGACAAACCUGGCAUGGAUGGUAACAAUGGUAGGCGUCGUGAGGCAGGACCAUGCCGGGAGAAAAACCAGGGAGCCAGGGAGACCUCGUCUGAAGAAGUUGCCAGGGAAGGUAGACUUGAAACUUUGCAUUUUCCCUUUGGCUUUGAUGACAGGAAACAACUUUACCUGUUGAGCUGGUGCCUUUUCUGUAAGCAAGUUCUCAAAGCCCUUCCAAGUGUUUUCCGCCACCUGGACUGAGGCUUCUGCCCCAGCUUUGACAGCCAGGCAUCAUUAGCAGGGAUAUUAAUGUUUUGUCAGGGCUGUUCUAUGAGAGUCUGGGUGCUGGGUGUCCUGCAGACCAGACCCACCUGUGGGACUCAGCGCUCUAGCCCCUACUCCUAAGAAGCAAGUCUGAAGAGGGCCGUUCUGCCAGGUGCCUCUGCACCUGCCCAGUGGAGAGGCUGAGCUGUGUCAAGAGGGCGGCAGGGCUGCUCCUCCACUGUGCGUCCUCGCUGACCGAGGGUGUGUUUCACAGCGGUGAUGGGUGCUGACUGAGGGUGUUUCGCAGCGGUGAUGGGUGCCGACUGAAGGUGUGUUUCACAGCGGUGACGGGCAGCAACUGACUGAGGGUGUGUUUCACAGUGGUGAUGGGCACCGACUGACUGAGGGUGUGUUUCACAGUGGUGACGGGCACCGACUGACUGAGGGUGUGUUUCACAGUGGUGACGGGCACCGACUGAGGGUGUGUUUCACAGUGGUGACGGGCACCGACUGACUGAGGGUGUGUUUCACAGUGGUGACGGGCACCAACUGACCGAGGGUGUUUCGCAGCGG
rnacentral:lncRNA from 1 species